rnacentral:rRNA from 1 species
UUCCGGUUGAUCCUGCCGGACCCGACUGCUAUCAGAGUGGGACUAAGCCAUGCGAGUCGACGUAGCAAUGCGUGGCGAACGGCUCAGUAACACGUAGUCAACAUGCCCAGGGGACGUGGAUAACCUCGGGAAACUGAGAAUAAACCACGAUAGGUCACGAUUUCUGGAAUGGAUCAUGGCAUAAAUCUACAUGGCCCCUGGAUUGGACUGCGGCCGAUCAGGCAGUUGGUGAGGUAAUGGCCCACCAAACCUAUAACCGGUACGGGCUCUGAGAGGAGAAGCCCGGAGAUGGGCACUAAGACAAGGGCCCAGGCCCUAUGGGGCGCAGCAGGCGCGAAACCUCUGCAAGAGGCGAAAGCCUGACAGGGUUACUCUGAGUGAUUUCCGCUAAGGGGAUCUUUUGGCACCUCUAAAAAUGGUGCAGAAUAAGGGGCGGGCAAGUCUGGUGUCAGCCGCCGCGGUAAUACCAGCACCCCGAGUGGUCGGGACGAUUAUUGGGCCUAAAGCAUCCGUAGCCGGUUCUGCAAGUCUUCCGUUAAAUCCAGCCGCUCAACGGAUGGGCCGCGGAGGAUACCAUAGGACUAGGAGGCGGGAGAGGCAAGCGGUACUCAGUGGGUAGGGGUAAAAUCCUUUGAUCCAUUGAAGACCACCAGUGGCGAAGGCGGCUUGCCAGAACGCGCUCGACGGUGAGGGAUGAAAGCUGGGGGAGCAAACCGGAUUAGAUACCCGGGUAGUCCCAG